CUGGAACCCCGUCGGCUGUAUAUGGGAAAAAUCCCCUGUUUGUGUUCAAAUAAGUCCUGCGGGACCUGUUGGGCGAUUCAUUGCCGGUGUUGUGGUACGACUGUUUACAGAUGCUAUUGGGCUAUUAGCUGACCACUGUCCCUGGGUCUUAACUUGCGUAUUGCUAAUGUAGUCACUGAUAUAGUGCAUUAGAAACAAUUAAAGAAAAUAAUAAUGUUAUAAGUAAAGCGAAUGCAUGAAUUCAUGAAUAAAAAAAAUAUUAUGAAUGAAGCUAAAAAUAGCUAAUUGACCUGAAUUUAAUUUUUUUAUGAAAACAUUGGCGAACGAAUAUUGAUCUAUGUAAAAAAUGCUUUAGAAAAACAAAUUUGAAUGUUAUUUUAUUCUUACUCUGGAACAAAUAUAACCUAACACAACUCCGAUUCAUUUCUUAAUGUGAUACUUAUGUUUACAUACUAAAACAAUCUGCACCCCUAAGCUGUCAGAAGAUAUUAUUGCCUUAAUAAUUAAAAUUUUGUUCAAAUUAUUAAUGCAUUUAUUAUAAAUAUAUUUAGAUCUAGGCUUUAUUUAGUCUUAUUUAGACUGUCAAGUGUAGGGCCCUAUAAUGAGGAUAUGUCAAAACUGCGUGCUAUAAAAGUAGUUCGUCAUUUUUGAAACUUAUAACAAAAAAUAAGUUAGUAUCAAAAUUCUUUUUUAAAACAGCAUUUGAAUCAGUAUUCUAUUCAAUGGAAAAUAUAUUUUGUAAUGAACCAUUGACACUUUUACCAUUGCGACCUUAGAUGCUAAUUUUUUGUAACAAUGCGCGAAUCUAUGAAUGAAGCUUGAGUUAUUAAUGAACAAGUCCAUGACCUUUUUUUUUAAAAAAAAAAUUACCUCUUCAGAAGUUUUUCAUUGAAAAGUGGUGUAAUUUUUUGAAAAAUCUGCUUGCAUAUAUAAUUGUAAAAAUUACAUGGUUCACUUUCAGAAAAGAAAAAAGUUGCCGUAGCAUCAGAACCUGGAAUGAUCUAAAAUAUUAUGAUAUCCGAUUUUCAUUCUCUUUUAGUUUCUGAGAUAUAAACGAAUCGGACAGAUAGACGGACAGACAGGCCACACUAAACUAAUAGCGUCUUUUCCCCUUUUGGGGGCGCUAAAAAUGCACAGUUG